CUCAGGUUCAGGAGAGUUAGGUUUUGAGUCUCCGCUGAGCUCCUUUACUAGCUGUGUGGCCUCAGGGAAGUUACUUAACCUUUCUGGGUCUUGGAUUCUGAGCGUAAUUGUGUCCGCCUCCACAGGUAUGGCCGUCCAGGUGGAGUGAAGUUCAGCAACUUGCUCAAAUUCACGCACCGAAAGACCUGUACUUGACAUCGCCAGGAUCCGCAGCCCCGCGGCUGGACUCCAGAGCCAAGGUCCUCGCUACUAUUCCGCCCUACACAGGCGAUGCCGAAACGUGAAACGUCGAGAGGCUGCUUGAGGCAACCAGAACAUUCCAGAAAUCCAGAGUUAAACGUAUUUUAUCCCUUGGAAAACAGUGUUUAUCGUGAAGAAGUCGUGACAAGUGUAUUUCAUCCGUGAAUAAAGGCAAUUUGGAGGGAGAGAGAGAAAGCCAGCCAUUCUAUCUCAUGAAUUCAUCGGUGCCUAAAGAAGUCAGCAGAUUCAAAAGGAAAUCGCCGGAAAAAAAUAAAAGCUGAAAUGUUCCAGGGCACAGCAGAUGAAAUCGAUGUUCUCCGAUUGGCUAACAUGUGACAAGACCGCCGGUCGGGCAGAGAAGGAGCCCCGGCAGUGUAGGUGGGAAAGGUCUCGAUCGCGGGGUCAGUCACAGAGGUGCCUGGACUUCGCUGGUAUCGAAAAAGAUGACCGGGGCCAACUCACAUAUGGUCCCUAAAGAUUUGCCUGCAGCAAAUCAAAGUGGGGUUCCUAACACGGGCGAUCAAAUCCGCCACGCAAACGUGGGAAACGUGGGGGUGCCGCGCCGUGGGGCGCGAGCACCAGAGGUGUUCAGGAGUGCUGGCGUGCCCAUCGGUUGUGCUCUGUGAUGCCAAGGCCUCUGCAGAAAAACGCAAAAACCUGUGACGCGCUUCCACGACGCUCCGUUCCUUGUUCCACGCCACCCAUGCAUCUGUCACAAGACUGGCGAUUGCCCAAAACACAUGUAACCAGAGCAGCGAGGCAGUAUCGGGGACACGGAGUGGUUCGCUCCAGUCACAUCGGGCCGUGCAUCAGCAGGCUUUAUCUGCCGCGAUUUGAGCGGCUUGCAAAGAUUAUUGAAACUUGGGAAGCAGCAUUAAACGAUUAUCAGACACACAGGUGGCCCAUGAAUUGAGAAUUCCUUUACACGUGCUAAAUGUUAUAGGGGUUUUUUUCUUCCCCGACGAGCUUCAAAGUGAAACUGUAGACAUGUUUUCAUUGCCUUCAGAAGUAAAAGCAAUCUUUAGCAUC